GAGCCGCCUCACGAAAUGAGGCGAAAAGGUGUUUAAGGGAUUUUAAAGUUUUAAAGUUUUUAAAAUUUAAGGAGUUCAGUUAUUCCAUGAACACGUGAACGCUUAGGAAUGAAAAUCAAUUUAUGGAAGAGCUGACCAGCCUUCUGGGGAGGAUCUAAGACAAACCUGCACCUUGCAGAAAGGAGGCAAAAAGCCAAGUGGCAGGAGAUCUGCUGAGAAAGCUGAGGAUGACAGUCUGGCAGGGGAGGAGGGAAGGCAGCAGCCAUACAAAUUAGAGUGUCACUGGGGUCUUGGUAAACAAACUGCUGGCAGAGGGAGGAAGGCAGCAGUAAGGAAUUCCAUGGGAAGGAAUUCCAUGGGAAGGACCAGCUCAUUCCUUCAGGGCCAAGUCCUGCCCUGCACCAGCUCCUCCAUGG